CGGUGGCGUGGUCGACGCGACGGCGCCGUCGAGGCCGCGGGUCCGGGAUGCGCGGAGCGGUUACGGGCGGCGUUCGACGCGUCGGCCACCUG
rnacentral:tRNA from 1 species